AGCUGCUGCUCCCUCUACAGCUGCUGACGCCGCAACAACUACUGCUUCAUAAAACAUGCGCUGAACGAAUAAUGAGACCGAGGGGUAACUAUCCUGUUGGUGGCGUUGUUUUCUUCCGGGCAAAAACAGAACCCAAAAUAGAAGAAUCCUGUCGAGGUUGUGGGAAUAAAAGAAAAGCAAACAAUAACAACCGAGCAAUAUAUCAUCUAUCUGUCUCUCUGCUAUAAGCUGAUUUUAAUGUAAAUUAUAAAAUAAUCUAAUAAAAAUGUAAGCUAUCGAUUCUUAUUUCAA